rnacentral:lncRNA from 1 species
GAUUUAUUGGCCUGCUCUCAUGAGGUCACAGGUCAGUGGGGCCAGCCAGAUCCCCGCGCUCGAACAGGUCCUCACUCUCUUCUGAGACUGAGCUGGACGCAGCAGCCCUGGGUAGAGGCCUCGACCCCGGAGCCCUCCAUGCUGCCAGACUUCGGGGCGGCUGGAAGGAGCUGCCGUUACUGGUAGGGAAAACAGUUCCGACCGUGAGGCACAGGUCCUGGUCACAUGUUGGCUCGUUCCCGCUGCAGUCGGGAGUUGUAGGCGCGGGACACGGUGUUCCAGGCGUCCAUGUACCGGUCCAUGCACAUGGCGAUGCAUUUCUGCAAAGCUUAUCUAAGGAGCCCCCGGGCUUCCCGAUGCACUUCCGGAAACACUUGUCCGUCAUCCUCUCAGCUCCUGCGCAUUGGCCACGGCGAUCUGCACUUUCACCUGUUCCAUAAUGGCUCCCGGGUCCAGCUUCCCACCACCCGUGCCGCCGAAGUCCGAGCCGAAUCCGCUGUCCAUGGCUGCUCAGACAACCGGGUCGCGGUAGCGCGCGCCGACCGUAGGC